rnacentral:lncRNA from 1 species
CGAACGGAUUAGUUGGAGCGCAUCUUCUCGAGCUGGUUGAGGGCCGGCUGGAGGAUGUUGAAGAGCACCCACCCGAGGGCGGGGGCCACCACGAAGAGCAGCAGCAGGCCCCGGUUGUCGUCCGCCGGCGCCGCCGCGGCCGCCAUGGCCGCGAUCUCCCCCGCGGCGGCCGAGGCCCGCUCCGGCGCGGCAGCGGCCAUGGCGGCCCCGAGCCCGAGCCCGGCCACGAGCGCCUUCUCCGACCGCAUCUUGUUGAGCUGGUUCAGCGCCGGCUGCAGGAUGUUGUAGAGCACCCAGGCGAGCGCCGGGGAGACGACGAUCAGGAGGAGCAGGCCCCGGUUGUCGUCCGCCGGCGCAGCCGCCGCCAUGUCCGCCACCCGCUGCGCCGCCAUCGCCGCGUCGGAGGUCGCCAGCGAG